rnacentral:rRNA from 1 species
CAAUAGCGUAUAUUAAAGUUGUUGCGGUUAAAAGCUCGUAGUUGGAUUUCUGCCGAGGACGACCGGUCCGCCCUCUGGGUGCGCAUCUGGAUCGGCCUGGGCAUCUUCUUGGGGAACGUGUCUGCACUUGACUGUGUGGUGCGGUAUCCAGGACUUUUACUUUGAGGAAAUUAGAGUGUUUCAAGCAGGCGCACGCCUUGAAUACAUUAGCAUGGAAUAAUAAGAUAGGACCUCGGUUCUAUUUUGUUGGUUUCUUGGGUUGAGGUAAUGAUUAACAGGGAUGGUUGGGGGCGAUUCGUAUUUAACUGUCAGAGGUGAAAUUACUUGGAUUUGUUUAAAGAACGAACUACUGCGAAAGACAUUUGUCCAAGGAUGUUUUCUAUUGAUCAAGAACGAAAGUUAAGGGGUAGUCG